AUCCAACUGACGAGUCCCAGAUAGAAUGAAACACGUGCCCUAGAU
rfam:Schistosoma haematobium scaffold224_27, whole genome shotgun sequence.